rnacentral:rRNA from 1 species
GGUGAUGAUGGCGAAGAGGUCACACCCGUUUCCAUACCGAACACGGAAGUUAAGCUCUUCAGCGCCGAUGGUAGUCGGGGGUUUCCCCCUGUGAGAGUAGGACAUCGCCAGGC